GGCUCAACCGGGGAGGGUCAUUGGAAACUGGGAGACUUGAGUGCAGAAGAGGAGAGUGGAAUUCCAUGUGUAGCGGUGAAAUGCGUAGAUAUAUGGAGGAACACCAGUGGCGAAGGCGGCUCUCUGGUCUGUAACUGACGCUGAGGCUCGAAAGCGUGGGGAGCAAACAGGAUUAGAUACC
rnacentral:rRNA from 1 species